UGCAAGUCGAGCGGACAGAAGGGAGCUUGCUCCCGGAUGUUAGCGGCGGACGGGUGAGUAACACGUGGGUAACCUGCCUGUAAGACUGGGAUAACUCCGGGAAACCGGAGCUAAUACCGGAUAGUUCCUUGAACCGCAUGGUUCAAGGAUGAAAGACGGUUUCGGCUGUCACUUACAGAUGGACCCGCGGCGCAUUAGCUAGUUGGUGGGGUAAUGGCUCACCAAGGCGACGAUGCGUAGCCGACCUGAGAGGGUGAUCGGCCACACUGGGACUGAGACACGGCCCAGACUCCUACGGGAGGCAGCAGUAGGGAAUCUUCCGCAAUGGACGAAAGUCUGACGGAGCAACGCCGCGUGAGUGAUGAAGGUUUUCGGAUCGUAAAGCUCUGUUGUUAGGGAAGAACAAGUGCGAGAGUAACUGCUCGCACCUUGACGGUACCUAACCAGAAAGCCACGGCUAACUACGUGCCAGCAGCCGCGGUAAUACGUAGGUGGCAAGCGUUGUCCGGAAUUAUUGGGCGUAAAGGGCUCGCACGCGGUUUCUUAAGUCUGAUGUGAAAGCCCCCGGCUCAACCGGGGAGGGUCAUUGGAAACUGGGAAACUUGAGUGCAGAAGAGGAGAGUGGAAUUCCACGUGUAGCGGUGAAAUGCGUAGAGAUGUGGAGGAACACCACUGGCGAAGGCGACUCUCUGGUCUGUAACUGACGCUGAGGAGCGAAAGCGUGGGGAGCGAACAGGAUUAGAUACCCUGGUAGUCCACGCCGUAAACGAUGAGUGCUAAGUGUUAGGGGGUUUCCGCCCCUUAGUGCUGCAGCUAACGCA
rnacentral:rRNA from 1 species